rnacentral:tmRNA from 1 species
CCACUUCACAUUCAGGAUUGCCGCGCUAUAUCAGCACCUGCCGGUUUCGACCGGCUAUGACGAUAAAUUGCUGCGUGCAAUAGAUGCAACGGACCCGGGGGCAGUACCCGGCGGCUCCACCAGAAGCGGCGGCCCCUCAGGAGGGCGCCGCAACUCCUGACGGGGCCGAACCAGGAUCGACGUGUGUUGAAAGACGUAGUUUUCGUCCGGGCUGAGUAACCCGCAUAAGGCUCAAAAACCAUAAGUGCCAACGACAACGAAGCACUCGCAAUCGCUGCGUAAUUGAUGGGCUAACGCCCUUCUUUUACUAGGCUAAAAAGCGCGGUUGGACCGAACCGGGCAACAGAAUCGGAAACC